rnacentral:rRNA from 1 species
UACGUAGGAUGCAAGCGUUGUCCGGAUUUACUGGGCGUAAAGCGCGCGCAGGCGGCAGUACAAGUACCCUCUGAAAUCUCCUUGCUCAACGAGGAGGGUGGAGGGUAGACUGUGCAGCUAGAGGAGGGUAGAGGGGGGGUAGAAUUGCUGGUGUAGCGGUGAAAUGCGUAGAGAUCAAGCAGGAAUACCCGUGGCCGAAGGCGGCCCCCCUGGGCCCUAAAAUCCCCCUUUUGGAAAGCACACCCUUCGGG